AUAAGAUAGUAAAAUAGUGCUCGUAUAAAAUCUCUUGAAAAAUUAUCCUAUUUAAAAAUGGAUUAGUAGGACAACAUCUACAGCUAAUAAUAUUUCUUAUAGCCAGACCCUUCUGAAAUUUACAGAAAACAUAACAUAAAGUGUCAAAGUUCAUAACCAAAUCAACCCCUGCAUUUUGAAAGAUGAGAAACUACAAUCAAUUAUCAUUAUGGAUACUAAUAAAGCACCAGCUAGGAGAGGAUGACCAGUGUUGAGAAUAGAAUCAACCACAAAUAUGAAUAUGGCAGCUUACACUCUCAAGUUAAAAACACGCAUACACACAAAAUCAUUACAAACUAUCAUCAUUCAUCAAGUCAUUAACUUUAGUCUUUAGAGUAGUUUGAAAUGAUAAAACUUGAAGACCAACUCUUUCAAUGAGUGGGGAUGUUGGCCUUCCCCUGCUCUCAGCAGAAUAUUACGAAUCAUGUCACUUGACUUGGAUUUUCAAUCAAGCUACUUGAUUCUGUAAAACUAACUAAAUUUGACGAUGAUUCUCCUCCAUCCUUAGUCACCGAGUCUACAGGAAAUAGCACAGGCCUGGGAGGCAAUUGUAGGCCUUCCAAAGGUCCUUCAAGCAUCUCUAUAACUUUCUUCAUUGGAGGACGAUCACAGGGUUGCAUCUGUAUGCAAUGUAAUCCUAUUAAAAUCAUUUUCCUAGCUAUUAUAUUUUCCUCCUCUGUUGUGUCUUCUAUUGCUAAUUUUCCACUAGAGAGUUGGCCAUGAACCCAAAACGGAUAGUAAACUUCACUUAAAUGUUCAGCAAAUGCAUUCACAUUCUUCCUUUUGUCUGCCAUUUCUAGCACCAACUUUCCGAAGCUAUAUACAUCUGCUUUGUACGAGACACGUCCAAUGUUUUUGUAU
rnacentral:misc_RNA from 1 species